AUUAUGACUCUCGGCAACGGAUAUCUCGGCUCUCGCAUCGAUGAAGAACGUAGCGAAAUGCGAUACGUGGUGUGAAUUGCAGAAUCCCGUGAACCAUCGAGUCUUUGAACGCAAGUUGCGCCCGAGGGAUCCUCCUGAGGGCACGCCUGCCUGGGCGUUAGAA
rnacentral:rRNA from 1 species